CAGAUACGCCUCGAUGUUGGACGGAUACCUUUCGCCGUAGCGACCGAGCGAUAGCAGCUCGCCGAGCAGCCAUUGCCGAUCCAGAUCGCGAUCUACGUGUUUGGGAUGGAUUUCCGUGAACGGUCCGAAUCCGGGCGAGUAACCGUCGUCGUUCCAUCGCUGCAGCGGGCCCACUUCGACUUCGGCCGACGGAGCAGAUGACCAGAUGCCGAACGAGGGCCACAGACGGUCGGAGCCGAUCAGUGACAACAGCAGCGCCACUUGGAGCAGAUGCUCCGAAAAACCUUUUUUCAGACGCAACAUGAUUUUCUUUUUGAGUCUCUGCCGAUAAAACAAAUGGAAAAUAUCAUAUUUAAACCGCAUUUUAUACCACCAACACCACGGUGUCAAUAAUAAUAAGAAAUACAAUUUUUAUUGUUUGUUUUAAUGACUAGAAUAUCAUUAUUAUUGUUACAAUAUAACUUAAUGGACAAUUAAUACCGAUUCUUAAUUUAAAUUUUCCCCAUGUUCAUGCGCAAAGAUGAAAAAACAAAAGGUAAAACACUAGCGAGGAAAACAAAAAAGGCAAUGGUUUCGCGCGAAUUGCGCACCACCUUGGAAGUUGAAUAAACCUUCAAUAACAGCUAAGACCGCCGAUCCCGCCGUAACCGGUUGUGUUUCACUCCAUAUGAAGAUUGGUCGUGCAAAUUAUAUUAUACACACAUACACACACAACAACCGGCAUAGAACGUAUUUUGAGGGUUAUUACACGUGUCGUCAUCACCGGCAAGUAUGUCACGAAUCACAUCUGGACACCUAACAGAAGCUCAGCAGUAUCCACCAAAAAAAACCCGUUUCCUUAAUUUAAUAUUAAGAAUAUAAUACUUAAUACAAUUUUUCAUGGUUAAACUUAUUAAGUUACACGUAUUAAAUUUAUAAAGACAUUUAAACAAAGGCAAAUAAUUGUUGAGGCGGUGCAUAAGUUUUAUCUAUUUUAUGUCUAUUAAUUAUAUUGUCCAAAAAGGUGGAUACGCUAAUUAAAAAAUGGUUAAUUACUUAGUGAUGAUUGUAGCUAGAACUACCAGAAUACCGUCUUUUAUGCGUUCUAGAGUGCGGAAUUCUUCGGGGCCCAAUGUGAAUAUUAUUAUUGGACCUCAACCCCACGGGGUGUGUAAGUUAUAAGGAGUAAA